AGCGGACGCAGCACGCGCACACCGUUGUAGGCAGCAGGAGCUUUCAGAGUGAAAUGCGAUUGCCGGAUGGUGUGCGCUGUAUGGUGCACAAGUAGGAGGAUUUCCUAGUACACGCCCAAGCACCAAGGACAGCGUAUGUGACGGAAGAACACCACAAGGAACCCGGACGUUAACGAAGAUGGCGCCAGCUGCGAACAACGCACCCGCGUGAGUGCAGGACGAGUGUGGUACACGAUAGCGUAACAAGGCAGCUGUAGGCGUUAACGACAAGUGGGGUGAUGAUAAAAGAUAGCAUGAAAAGUAGUGAGACCCCUGCACGAUACAUAAAUACAACACCACACACUAGGGAUCGUAUGGCUCCCGCGACGUGCCCUUAGAUGGUCUGGGCCGAAAGGCCCCGGACCAAGCGCACCGACGGGGCGUCGCCGAUCGAAAGGUGAUCGAGAGGGACAUACCUCGGAAUUAAGCAUAUGAAUAAGGAAUUGCUAAGAAACCAACAGGGAUUCCGCAAUAGAGGCGACUGAUCAGUUCUUUGUAC
rnacentral:misc_RNA from 1 species